rnacentral:sRNA from 1 species
CCCUAGCCCCGAUUGAAGUGUAAAUCCUUUUUUGCCUUUCUUUAAGGCAGAAAAGAUUGCAACGAAAAGCGGGAAAUAGC